ACCUCUUAAAUACAAUUACCCUUUUAUUAAUAACAAAGGGAUAAUAUCCAAUCCCAUAUUUCUCAAUAUUUAAUCAUUUAACGACAAACGUCAACCAUAAGACAAUAUAAACUCGGACUUACGAACACUCAAUACACAUACACACAUACAUGCAUACCAUUAAGUCUUCAGACAGGACCUCAUCAGCUUGUUGAGCUCUUCUUUUUCUUAUCAUAAGACAAUAUAAACUCAGACUUACGAACACUCAAUACACAUACAUACAUACAUACAUACAUACCAUUAAGUCUUCAGACAAGACCUCAUCAGCUUGUUGAGCUCUUAUUUUUUGUUGAUUUGCUCUUCUUUUUCUUCUUUCUUCUAGAUUUUGACUUCAAUAUUCUUGAUCCUUUCUCUUCAUCAUCGCUACUCGAAGAUUCUGAGGAUGAUGAUGAAUCAGAGUCAGAAGA
rnacentral:lncRNA from 1 species